rnacentral:rRNA from 1 species
UAACCAUGAUUCCCUUAGUAACGGCGAGUGAAGUGGGAAGUGCUCAAAUUUAAAAUCCCUUUUGGGAAUUGUAAUUUAUAGAAUAAAUGGUUAGUAAGUGGAGAUUAAAGUCUGCUGGAAAGCAUGCGCUAGAAAGGGUGAUAGCCCCGUUCAGUCUCUUAACUUGCUUCUAUGCCAUUAUUUCAACGAGUCAGGUUGCUUGGGAAUGCAGCCUAAAUUUGGUGGUAAACUCCAUCUAAAGCUAAAUAUUGAUCAGUGACCGAUAGCAAACAAGUACCGUGAGGGAAAGAUGAAAAGAACCUUGAAAAGGGGGUUAAAAGUACGUGAAAUUGUUAUUAGGAAAGCACUUAGUCUCAUUGUGGAUUAGAUCAGUCUGUUUCGGCAGAUACUGUCCUAAUUAGUUAUGAUCAGUUAGCGCUGAUAAAGAAAAUUUGUGAUAAGGUAUUAGUGUAGUGCUAAACUUAAAGAUCACUUAUUAUUUGUCGGUACUGACUGAGGAAUGCUACUUAAUCUUUUUGAGUAAAUAGUUUGUGGAGUUAGGUUAAACAACAUGUUGAUUAGCUUAAUUAAAGCGAUCUAUUUGCUUUAGAACUUAAGUACAGGAUCAUAAUUAAAUGAUANU